AUGUACUGGUUGUCUCCGGUUCAGUGGGCGAAAUGGACGUGGUCGGCAGUGACGGGAGCGACGGGAGAGGAUGGACAACCAGGAGGAAAGGCUGUCCAAGAAGAGAUUUCAGACUCUGAGGGGACCUUUGAGACUCCAGAGGCAGAGUCUCCAGGUGUUGUGGAGCGGCUGGGACAGUUGGACGACUCUAACAACACAGCUGAUAAUCAAAACCACAUUCAGGACACCUUCUACCUCGAUGUCACCGCCGCUCCAUCAGAAGGCCGCGACUCUUUGAACAACCUCACAGGCUCCUCGCCCAAUGGGAGCGGCUUCACUCUGGAUCAAAACAUCAACUUGACCCUUAAAGCUGGAUCUGAAGAGGGCCUCUCCCCCUCCGUCCCCCAGCCCCAGCCUCAGACUCAGGCCAUCCGACCGCCAUCGCUACCUGUCCUCUCACCGCUGAACAGACCUGACCCCACCGAGGUGGAUGACGAGGCCCCGAUGACCUCUGACUCUAGCCCAGACUCAAACCUGACCAGCAGUCAGGACAUUUGCAUGGAUUCAGAUUUACUGAACGGCAACACAAAGUCAGACUGUUUGCUGUCAAAUGGCAACUCGGUCAUCACGACUGCUGAGCAAGUCCAUUUCCUCUGUGUUCUGUUAAACUCCUGUAAAGUGGAGCCGAACCAGCAGAUGCAGAUGGACUCAAGCAAACAGGACGACCAUCAUGAAGGCCACGCUACAGACGAGGAGAAACUGGCAAACAGCGUUGGGGUCAAAUCAGAAAACAGCCAAAAUGGUGAGUUAGAUACUGAAAAGGAUUGGUAA
rnacentral:lncRNA from 1 species